rnacentral:lncRNA from 1 species
AUUAUCAGACACAACCAGUGGUGAAGUUUUGGUACUGAAAUUUAAUCAGCCUUUGCACCAAAAAACCUCCUAGCAAUGUCACUCUGAAGGUACCAGUAUAAUGUACAACAAGUAGAUGCUAAUGAUAAUGGUACAUGAAGAUAUGCACAUGAUUUACUGUAGAUGUUUUGCAUGCGUAUAAUGCGCUGAUUGUAGAUGCUGACCGGCUAUCUUGGAGAUAGGAAGAGGCUAAGUUGGUUGUCAGAUGAAUCUGAACUGAUACCUUCAUGGCCAUCAAACUCAUCUAAGCCGAUGAACUGCUCGAUCAGAAUCUUCUCAACAGCUAGCUUUCGGUGAUCACUUGCUUCAAGCUCUUGAACGGUGUGGCCUGACUGCAACUGUGGAAACCUAUCCUUUCUUGGAGGAGAGAUUUUCAAGUGAGACGGCUUUCUUUUCUCACUGUUGCUCAGUUGCUGGUGCUUAGAAGAGGAUGUUUUUGCUGAUGUUUUUGUUGUUCUGCUCAACCAGGAGGGAACUGCAGCGGCAUUCUGAACCUUAUCUUGGGAUGUUUUGGUUCCUUUUGCACCCAAACUGACACUUCCAUGAUGCGGUCCGACGUUUUUCCUUGCUGAAGAUAAUUUGUUCUUAUGUAGCCUC